CCCAGCAACGCCCCGUGAAGGAAGAAGGCCUUCGGGUUGUAAACUUCUUUUACCAGGGACGAAGAACGUGACGGUACCUGGAGAAAAAGCAACGGCUAACUACGUGCCAGCAGCCGCGGUAAUACGUAGGUUGCAAGCGUUGUCCGGAUUUACUGGGUGUAAAGGGCGUGUAGGCGGAGCUGCAAGUCAGAUGUGAAAUCCCGGGGCUCAACCCCGGAACUGCAUUUGAAACUGUAGCCCUUGAGUAUCGGAGAGGCAAGCGGAAUUCCUAGUGUAGCGGUGAAAUGCGUAGAUAUUAGGAGGAACACCAGUGGCGAAGGCGGCUUGCUGGACGACAACUGACGCUGAGGCGCGAAAGCGUGGGGAGCAAACAGGAUUAGAUACCCUGGUAGUCCACGCUGUAAACGAUGAAUACUAGGUGUGGGAGGACUGACCCCUUCCGUGCCGCAGUUAACACAAUAAGUAUUCCACCUGGGGAGUACGACCGCAAGGUUGAAACUCAAAGGAAUUGACGGGGGCCCGCACAAGCAGUGGAUUAUGUGGUUUAAUUCGACGCAACGCGAAGAACCUUACCAGGAUUUGACAUCCAACUAACGAAGUAGAGAUACAUUAGGUGCCCUUCGGGGGAAAGUUGAGACAGGUGGUGCAUGGGUGUCGUCAGCUCGUGUCGUGAGAUGUUGGGUUAGGUCCGGCAC
rnacentral:rRNA from 1 species